AUUUUGAGGGUGUAUGACGAGCAGGGUGUGUGUUACAGGGGUGUUGGCUGCAUAUUUUACGAGAUGGCUGCAGGUCGGCCUCUGUUCCCCGGCUCCACAGUAGAGGACGAGCUCCACCUGAUCUUCAGGUUACUAGGCACACCCACGGAAGACAACUGGCCAGGAAUAUCUUCCAUGGAGGAGUUCAAGUCCUACAAUUUCCCCAAAUACAAACCUCAGCCCUUCAUCAACCAUGCUCCCAGGCUGGAUGGUGAAGGCAUGGAGCUCUUAUUGGCCUUCCUCAGAUAUGAAUCCAAGAAGAGGAUCUCAGCUGAGGAGGCCAUGAAACAAUCCUACUUCAGGCAUCUUGGGAUGAGAGUUCACACACUGUCUGAGAGUGUGUCCAUCUUCACAUUGAAGGAGGUUCAGCUGCAGAGAGAUCCGGGCUACAGGAACUCUUCAUACCUGGAGUCAGGUAACAGCAAGGUCAACCGGCGACAGAGCAUGCUCUUCUAACCAGGAGGAAGGACACCCUCAUCAUCAUUAUCAGCGACCUCUCUAGCAUGACCCCUCCUCACGGUCUUAGUGGGUUUCUGUUGGACUGUUCUGGUUGAAGUGAGGAGUUUUAGGACCACAACAAAUAAUAAUAAGAUAAUUAGUGAAGUGAGGAGUUUUAGGACCACAACAAAUAAUAAUAAGAUAAUUAGGAGGUAAAGAAGACAAAAGCCAUAAUACUACAAGAAGUACUUUGUAAAAAGGAAAGAUUCUUCCUGACUAUUUUUGUAGUAUGACUAUUUUACUCAUCCUGUUGGCACUUUAUAUUCCCAACUUCUUUCCUACAAUAUUGCACUAUUUUCUUUAUUUUCCAUAUUCUGACUUCCAAAAUAUUGUUCCUCAGAAUAUUUGGACUUUUCUCUGAAAACAUUCACAUUUUUUUACCACACUGCAACUUUUCAUUUGAAAGAAAUCAAGCAAGCAUUUGUGCUAAGAUGAUGUUUCUCUGCUUAAGUGCAGUUUUUGACAUCCAAAUGUUUAGUCUUUAUUCUCCUCCUCACAAUAAUAAGACGUCACUUUCCACACAUUUGACAUCUUUUCUUGUAAUCUUGUGACUUCACUCUCAUACAAUUUUCAAUGUUUUUAAUGACAUUUGAAUUGUUUUUAUUACGUUUGUAUUCUCUUUUUAAACAUCUUUAUUGCACAAUUACUCUAAAAAUGACAGUUUACUUAUUUAUUUAGUUUUUAUUCCAACAUUUUUUAAAAUAAAAAUAUAACUAUUUCCUGGUAAAGUGAUGACUUUAUUCUUGUACUAUACUACACAUCUUUUCUCGUACUAUUAGGACUUCUUUCACACUUUAAAUGAUAAUAUUGCUAUUUUUCUCAUAAUAUUGCAGCUUUUUUCAUCAAACUGUUGUGACUUUUUGCUACAUUUUUCUCAAUCUAUUAAGACUUUGUUUUUUUACAUUAGAAUUAUUUUUUGUAAUAUUGUGACUCCCAUUUUUUUAUAAUACUAAAUUGUUUUGUUAUCAAAUUAGGUUUUUUUUCAUCUCAAUAUUGCUGUUUUAUUCUCAUGUAAAAAAAAAAAGGUCCAUGUCUUUAAAAAUGACAUCAUUCUCCCUGUAAUAGUAGGAUUUAUUUUCUACCAUACAGACAAAAUAUUCCAAGUUUUUUCUUAAUAAUAAUGUGACUUAUUCCUGGUAAUAUUGUGACCUUAUUGCUGUAAUAUUUGACUUAUCUUUCCUCAUACUAUUAUGACUUUAUUUCCCUAAAAUGAUGACUUUUUCCACAGAGAAUUCUACUUUUUACAACUUAUUUUAGUUUUAUAAAAAAAUAUUUUUCUCUCCAAUGAAAUUAUUGUUAACUAAUUUUGAUAACGUUCCAACUUUUUCUAAUAUUAUUGCAACUUUACUCCCGAAAAAAAUUGAACUUUUUCCCCAGAAUAUUUCAACUUUUUACCUGCUAAUUGUGGACUUAACUCUCUAUCAUUUGGACUUUGUUUGAUACAUCUAUGAUGUAUUUCUAUAAUAGAGGUGUUAUUAGUGUGGCCCUAAUACUCCUUUUGUUUGGUACAUCUAUGAUGUAUUUCUAUAAUAGAGGUGUUAUAAGUGUGGCCCUAAUACUCCUUUUGUUUGGUACAUCUAUGAUGUAUUUCUAUAAUAGAGGUGUUAUAAGUGUGGCCCUAAUACUCCUUUUGUUUGGUACAUCUAUGAUGUAUUUCUAUAAUAGAGGUGUUAUAAGUGUGGCCCUAAUACUCCUCGCUCCGGCACAGUCUGGCGAGCAAAAGCCAGGAUGUUUUUGUGAGGCUGGCAGGAAAAGGAGGCAGAAAGCAAAAGGAAGUGAUGUAAAUAUUUGACUAGAAAGUUGCUGUGGUGUUAACUUGCACUUUGUGUGUACCUGACAGUAUUAAAGGUGUGUUGUGUGGCCUGGCUUGAAGGGGAGGAGCGGGGCUUGUCCACCUGGCCUGAUGUUUGACUUACAUUCUACAUGUCGGUCUUCAUUUGUGUCUUUAUGAUGAAAGAGUCUACUUUUAUGUCACACAAUUUUUGCUUUGGAUUUUGUCAACUAAUUUUUUUUUUUUACGUCAGAUGAAGCUGACAAAUUCAUUGCAAAAACAAAUUGUUGGCAAAAUGCGUCUUUAAAAAGUCCGUGUUCUAGAGUUGAGUGUAUAAAAUUUGCGUUUAAAAAUUAUGUUUUAAAAAAAAUGAAGUGUUUUAAAAUGAAGUGUUUGCACAUCAAUUUUUUCUUUUGAAUUGAGUGUGUAAAAUACAAGUUUUUUUAAAGUCAGUACCGUAAUUUCCGGACUAUAAGCCGCUACUUUUUACCCUCGUUCUGGUCCCUGCGGCUUAUACAAGGGUGCGGCUUAUAUACGGCCUGUUCUUCUCCGACACCGACGAAGAGGAUUUCGGUGGUUUUAGUACGCAGGAGGAAGACGAUGACACAAUGAUUAAAGACUGACUUAGGCUGGUUAUUUUGAUAACGUACAUGCGAGCACUUUGUAUUACUUUGCACCGUUGUAUUAUUUGUACUCUGCACGAAUGCUGUUCGCCACGUCAAAGAUGUGAAAGUUUGAUUGAAUGAUUGAAAGAUUUAUUGUUAAUAAAUGGGACGCUUUGCGUUCCCAAACAGUCAUCUCUGUCCCGACAAUCCCCUCCGUGGUAGCAGGAACCCCUAUAUACUACGCUAAUUACACAUCAAAACCCUGCGGCUUAUAGUCGGGUGCGGCUUAUAUAUGGAGCAAUCUGUAUUUUACCCUAAAUUUAGCUGGUGCGGCUUAUAGUCAGGUGCGGCUUAUAGUCCGGAAAUUACGGUAUAUCAAAAUAUUUUUUUUCUUAGUUCAGUGUGUAAAAAUGGUUUUAAAAAGCAGUUUUAAAAUUCAAUGUAUGAAAAGUUUGUAUUUUAAAAUUCAGCGUGUAAAAAUAUAUUUCAAAUUUAGUGUUCUAAAAUUCACUGUAUAAAAACAGUUUUAAAAAAAAAGUGUUUUAAAAUUCAGUGUUUUAAAAAUGUUUUUUUUAAAUUCAGUACAUAAAAAAGUUUUUAAAAAGUAGUGUUUUAAAAUUUAGUCUAUGAACAUUUUGUAUUUUAAAAUUUAGUGUGUAAAAAUCACUUUUAAUUCAGUGUGUAAACAUAUGUGUGUAUAUAUAUAUUUAUUUUUAAAAACAUUUCUAAUUCAGUGUUUUAAAAUUCAGUGUACACAUUUUUUGUAUUAAAUGUUUUAAAAAAACGUUUUAAAAUUCAGUGUAUAAUAUCUUAGUAUUUAAAAAUGUGAUGUUUAAAAUUUCAGUGUUUUAAAAUUCAGUGUAAAAAAAUCAGUGCAGAAAAAUUGGCUGCUUCAAAAGUCCAAACCCAUUUCAGAGAAUUUACAAGCCCUGCUGUCCCAGAAGCAGCCAAUGAGGUGUCAACUUUGAAGUCACGUGACAUCCUUGCUUUAAAAGCAGCAUGAAUUGUUUCACGUUGAAUUUUUUCACACUGAAUUUUUAAAAAAGACUGCAUUUUUAUGCACAUAUUUUCUUUCUACACAAACACAAAACAUUGCGUUCCAUCAAUUGAGUGUGGAAAAAAGCAAUAAAGACACAAAUGAAGCUGCAGCGUUGUGUUUGUGUAGCGAGGCAGAGAGAGACUCCAGUAGCACAGAAUGAUGUCAUGAUGUAAUGAUGUAAUGAUGUAAUGAUGUAAUGACUACUACUUUACACUGAGUACCGCUUUUCUACAAAGAAAUCACUUCUUCACAACUAAGUGUUGAGACUCCAUCUUAACUACCUGCAUGCUUUCUUAUUUAGCAGUGGAAAACACUUACACACUUGUGUGUGUGCGUGUGUGUGUGUGUGUGUGUGUGUGUGUGUGUGUGUGUGUGUGUGUGUGUGUGUGUGUGUGUGUGUGUGUGUGUG